CGUUGAAACACUGCUUCUCAUCAAAUCACCGAAGUUAAGCAACGUUGAUCCUGGUCAUUACUCAAAUGGUUGACCCCUGGGGAAUACCAGGUACUGUUA